rnacentral:rRNA from 1 species
AUACGUAGGGUGCAAGCGUUGUUCGGAAUCAUUGGGCGUAAAGCGUACGUAGGUGGACCAGAAAGUCAGGUGUGAAAGCCCACAGCUCAACUGUGGAACUGCGCUUGAAACUUUUGGUCUAGAGGAAGGUAGAGGUAAGUGGAAUUCCUAGUGUAGAGGUGAAAUUCGUAGAUAUUAGGAGGAACACUCGUGGCGAAGGCGGCUUACUGGGCCUUUCCUGGCACUCAGGUACGAAAGCAUGGGGAGCAAACAGGAUUAGAUACCCUGGUAGUCC